GCCUCGAUAGCUCAGGGGUAGAGCGGUGCCUUGGUAAGGCACAGGUCGCGGGUUCAAAUCCCGCUCGAGGCU
rnacentral:tRNA from 1 species